rnacentral:lncRNA from 1 species
CCAUCCGAUUUCUCAAUCUUUUCCCCACCUUUCCUGCCUUUCUAUUCCACAAAGCCGCCAUUGUCAUCCUGGCUCGUUCUCAAUGAGCUGUUGGGCACACCUCCCAGACGGGGUGGUGGCCGGGCAGAGGGGCUCCUCAGUUCCCAGUAGGGGCGGCCGGGCAGAGGCGCCCCUCACUUCCCGGAUGGGGGGGCUGGCCGGGCGGGGGGCUGACCCCCCCCACCUCCCUCCCGGACGGGGCGGCUGGCCAGGCAGA